AUACAGACGUGUGUCCAACCAGAGUAAAAGGUCGACAGAUCGUGAUAUUGACUUCAAAAAGAACCAGCUGGACUCUCUUCUCAAAUCCAUUGAAGAAGCAGCAGAUGAUGAUGUUUCAGUCUUGUCUUCAGACAGUUGGGAAGAGGAAAAAGACAAGCUCCUCCACCACCCAGGAGCUUGUUGUUGGAAGUAAUGCUGGGAUGGAAACAAAGUCUACACAUCCACCUGUGGCUCUCUCGACUAGUCCACCUACAACUAUCCAGCCUGCAGAAACUUCAACUCAUCCUCUCCCUGCAACAAGAGACAAAUAAUGAAUGAUUAGAUCCUCCUAACGAGCAGGUUGGCACCUUGCAUGGCAGCCUCUGCCAUCAAUUGGUCUCAAUUCUUAUACUUCUAGACCUAAGUGCAGCGUUGACCAUGACAUCCUAAUCAAUGGUCUUGAAAAGUGGGUCGGUCUUUCUGACUGUGUGUUAAACAGGCUCAAAACUUACAUCAAAGGGAAAAUGUUUUAUAUCAGCCUUGGAGAUCAUGUGUCUUAGAAAUAUGACAACUGCUAUGGGGUUGCACAAGGGAGCUGUUUCGGUCUGUUAUUAUUCUCACUGUACAUGCUGCCACUUGGUGACAUCAUAGUUACGCCGAUGAUACACAACUGUACAUAUCCGUAGAACUGAAUGAUGCUGCAGCUAUAAACUCCAUGCCCAACUGUCUGUUAGUAAUAAAUAAAUGGAUGAGCAAUAACUUCUUAAAAUUAAAUGAGAAUAAAAUUGAAAUUCUUCUCGUUGGCCCCAAAACAAAAAGAGAAUUGCUGUUUAAUAAUCCGGGAAAUUAACUCCCUGGAUUAAAUCUGAGGUCACAAGUCUUGGUGUUAUCUUAGAUUCAGAUCUAAACUUCAGUUCACACAUCAACAAGGUGACGAAAACAUCAUUUUUUAACCUUAGAAACAUAGAAAAAGCACAACCAUUUAUAAAUCAAAAAGAUGCCUGAGAAACUAACUCAUGCCUUCAUCUCAAACAAGUUAGACUACUGUAAUGCACUUUUUAUUGGCCUCCCGAAAAAAGUCACUGCGAGACUUCACCUCAUCCAAAACUCUGCAGCUCGGCUAUUAAUAGUCAUUUGUUAAAUUUCAGCUAAUAAUCAUUUGAUUUAAUUGAUGCUGAUGUAAGCAUGAUAUUUUGUAACGGCAACAUUAUUUAAGCUUUCUGUUAAAACAGUGGAGUAGGUUACUGUCAUUUUAAGAGAUAAAGGUUCCUUGUGUUUUAUUAGGGUGAACCUGUGGUUUUGAAAAGUUGAGGUUCAAGUAAAGACUGAGCGACACGGUUUUCUUACCGUAGUACAGUUUUCUGAUUAGGAGAACUUGGCUUUGAAUACUCCUGUAAGAAGAUACUACAAACUGUGGAAUAAAUACUUGUUUUGUCCUUUUUUUUUUUUUUUUUUUUUUUUUCAUCAGAGUCCUGUGAAAGUUUUCCCUCCUCAAGCUACCAGCCACAUCAUAUUUUAUUCUUUGAUUAUUAUUCAAUAUGCAUUCUUAUGUUACAUUAAUGUUUUUUUACAUGCUUUUAUGUUCUUUUUAUUUCUUUUUCAUGUGAAGCACU